CCACGAGUUUGGGUCCCCUGAGGCAUCUCUCCAGGCCUCUGCCUGGCGAGAUGGAAAGAAAGUAUCAAGGAGUGAGCUGAAGCCACUGCCCUUGAGAACCCUCUCGAGGAGUCUGGGCUCAUGAAGAUGCCAGAAUAAGUGGCAGAGCUAAGAAGUGACAGAAUCAGGAUUUAAAAUCUGGAAGUGUGGCUCUACAAUCUGCUUUGAACUUUAACAUAAUAUGUACAAAGCCUGAAGCAAAUUCUCAGCACUGUAUUUAAGAGAGCAUAGCAAUUAAGAAGAAAAAGAGCAAAGAUAAGAAGAGAAAAAGAGAAGAUGAAGAAACCCAGCUUGAUAUGUUGGAAUCUGGUGGACAGUAACAAACUUUGGUGAAAUUUCAGGAACCAUAGCCAUUGAAAUGGAUGAGGGAACCUAUAUACAUGCACUCGACAAUGGACAUUUUACCCUGGGAGCUCCACAC